UUGAAUGUACUUAACCUUGCUCAAGGACCAAGGCAGAUUAGGGUGUUCCCGGUUUUAAGAUAAUCUUGUUUAGGGCGUUCCCAGUUUAGGUUCCAGGUUUAAGGUUUAAGAUUAUUCCUGCUGGGAAUAGGGCGUAUCCUGCUGCCUGAGUUCCCCUUGAGUUCUCACGGGAUUCAGACAGUAUAUUUUGGGAGACAGAAGCCCAGAGAACGUGGAUUUGGGCAGAGAACGUGGAUUUCCCCAGAACGUGAUUGUAGACGGCUGGUGUGAGUUCGGGAAUAAAGAGUUGCUGUUUGAAUCUACAAGCUGUGUGGUGGCUCGUGAUUGUGUGCCCAGCCAGACUGCGGCAUUUGGCGGCCCGUGCGGGGAACUUCUGAAGCUUAAAGGGAGAACAGCAGCCCAUUUGGAUUCCAGAGAGAUUAACUAAAACAGUUUCUACAGAUCGAAAAGAAGAUGAUUUGACUCAAAUCCAUAACAGCUGAUAUCCAGAACUCCAGCUUGGCCAUUCUUACAUCUGCGACAGUGAUUAACCAGGAUGCUUUUUUUCAAUAGCUAUUUUAUUAUUGCAUUUCUCCACAUCAUAAGGUUCUAUUUUUAUUUUUUGAGCUCAUACAAACCUAGGUUAAUGUUUUUCUGAUCAGUUUUAUUUUUUGACUGUGGAGUUUUUAAACAUUGCAAUGGAGAUUUCACCCAGGUAAAGCUACAAGGCCUUUACUAUUUUCUUAUGUGUUGUACGUUUGUGUACACUCUUGUGUUUUGUGUUGUAUGUCUGUAUGUGCGUAUGUCCAUAUUUCUUAUAUGAGGAGCGCUCAUGAAAAAAUGGAUCCGAAUUAUUAUUAUUUUUUUUAUUCACGUGAUUUAAAUGGUUUAAUUUAAAUUAGGUAAACAGCUGUUAAGGAUUGUUUUUAAAGGUGGUUAACAGAUCUGUUUGUUUACUAAUUUAAAUUAGGUAAAAAGCUGUUAAGGAUUGUUUUUAAAGUAGGUUAACAGAUCUGUUUGUUUACUUUCACCUUUCCUUUUCAUUAUAUUUAAUAAUUCUUUUCAGGAUAAUGUCUCUUUAGCAUCAUUGACAGAAUUCCUAUCUCCAUCCCAGUGCCGGUGAAGAACUCAACAAGUAAUGCUCAAAGAGUCAACUUACUUUGGGAGGAAACGGAUUUUGGGAGGAAAUGGACAUAUUGAUAGAUUCCUCUGCUUUGAACUGCUUGCAGAACUUGCCUGGACUAUGUAACUAUCGUUUGGUGCAGCGAAUUGUGGUAAUGCUAGCAUAUCUUUGCUGAUGGUGUCACCAGUGAUGCAAUUUUUCCCAAAGAGCCGUCAAUUGGCUUGGUGUCGUGGCAUUUCUGUAUCCUCCUCCCUUCUGCUAGUGAUGGUCUAAAAUUUGGGGGCCAAUGGCUUAUGCUGGACCGGUAGUCAGUGACGGGUAUGAUCCAAUUGCAGUGGUAUCAACCUAAGACAGGAGGCUGACGCCUAAAGGUCAGUUUUCCGAUGACGGGUAAGAACCAUAUGUUGAAUUGGACAACCUACCAGGCACGGUCCAUAAGCCACAUUAACCUCACUCCCCCACUGGCACCAAGGCCAAAUUUGGGGGCCAACAGAGGUGAGGCAAAGAACCUCACCCCCCCACUGGUGCAUAGACCUAUCCACAAGUAUGGCUGUAUGCUGGACCGGUAGUCAGUGACGGGUAUGAUUCAAUUGCAGUGGUAUCAACCUAAGACAGGAGGCUGACGCCUAAAGGUCAGUUUUCCGAUGACGGGUAAGAACCAUAUGUUGAAUUGGACAACCUACCAGGCACGGUCCUUAAGCCACAUUGUUUGUUGUUUAAUUAAUCAGAAGGGGGGAGAUGCUGGGAGCCAUUAGCCAAGUAGGUAUGACAAUUUCCUUGCCAGCAUACCCCAUGUUGCAGUAACAUUGAAUGUACUUAACCUUGCUCAAGGACCAAGGCAGAUUAGGGUGUUCCCGGUUUUAAGAUAAUCUUGUUUAGGGCGUUCCCAGUUUAGGUUCCAGGUUUAAGGUUUAAGAUUAUUCCUGCUGGGAAUAGGGCGUAUCCUGCUGCCUGAGUUCCCCUUGAGUUCUCACGGGAUUCAGACAGUAUAUUUUGGGAGACAGAAGCCCAGAGAACGUGGAUUUGGGCAGAGAACGUGGAUUUCCCCAGAACGUGAUUGUAGACGGCUGGUGUGAGUUCGGGAAUAAAGAGUUGCUGUUUGAAUCUACAA